GGCCCCGUGGCUUAGCCUGGCUAGAGCACUCGACUGAUAAUCGAGAGGUCCUGGGUUCAAAUCCCGGCGGGGCCA
rnacentral:tRNA from 1 species